rnacentral:rRNA from 1 species
AUGAGUGAAGAGGAGAUGAUUCGCGAGUUCAACAACAUGGUCACAAGAGAGUCGGAAGCAUACGAGCCUACAAGCUUGUUCCACGGCUGGAACGAUGAUGAUAAAAUAAAGUACAUGAAGCAACUCCAAGUCAAUUUGUCAGAUCAAACUGGAGCUGCCGAUCUUGAUGAAAUGGAUGUCUCGCCCAGUGUAAUGUUUGAUAUCACAAACGACAAGAAGGCUAAACAAAAUUACAUAUCCUCAAUUGGACAUUACAGAUCAUGGCAAUACUCUGGUUCAGACAAAUGGUAUCAGUUUGGGUCAAAGAGCAAACGAGCGUUUGUUACAAGGCCGAGUGGUGUGUUUGUUUUCUAUUUUAGAUACAAUCAUUUGGUCGUGGGGUUGAUUGUUGAUGGGCAGAGUGGUUGGGUUGAGGGUGCUGUUACAAAUAACUUAGAUGAUGAGCGUCAAUCUGUACUUCAAUUCCAAAGAAAACCUUCUGAGCCUGACUACAUUAGAAGUUCUCGUACACAUAAUCUGAAGUAUGAUGGCAAUUACACGAAAGCAGGAAAAACAUAUGAAGCAAAGCUUGGGAUUUGGCAUGUCCGUAAAGCAAUAGAGGAGAUAGCUAGUUUUGAUCCUCGAGUUACAAAAUCUGAACCUGAACCAAUUCAUUGGCAAGUUCUGACUCUUUUUUCAGUGGAAGCCGGUAGACUUAAUCAUGUCUUUCGUCGCACGCCGCUAUCUCUUUCUGUUGCCAUUGGACCGGAUGGAACACUGAAACUCCCCACAAGUGGGGAACAAUUCAUACUGAACUAUCUGAAGCUUUCUUUGGUUUCUCUUGAAACAAUUGAAGGUAGACCAUUCAUUCACGUGAAAGGCACAGCACCUAGAAACCUUUAUCAAGUUUUGUUGGAGAUCUUGAUACUAAGAAGAGAAGUUAUUUUUCGAACUUGUUUUAUUCUCUCGGAUGCCCCACCUAUGAAAUUCAAGAAGAAUGAACCAAAACGGGGUAAAGGAAGCAGACUACUGACAGAGAAACAUAAAUUGGAAGCUGAAAAUGCAAAGGGUCACAAAUAUCUUGUGGGAAAACACGAUGGAACUACUGCUUAUCGUUGCGAGGAUUGGUUGGUAAACCCAUUUAAGGAGGUUGUAAUGACUGUCGAACAUGUUUCUGCAAAUGGGCGUCCAGAUGUCAGGGACAGUAAAAUUACUCUGGUUGCAGAAAUUCUGAACAGGGAUGCUUCGGUCAAACUCACGUUGAUCUUACAAUCGCAAAUGCGUAAUGGUCUCCAAAAGCUUGAUUUAACUGAAGGACAGAUUGCAGCCCAACAGUUCAUUGGUUCAGCGACGUCUUUACAGAGGUCCAUUCAAGAGAAAUGGUAUUGGGAGGGCCAACAUCAAAAGCAGAAAGAUCAGAGUGCAACUGGUGGAUGCUGUCUCUCCAUGUUAAAAUAUGAUAUAACUACAAGGCGCGCAUAUGCAUCCGCACAAGAGGAACCGUGGCAUGAUGAACCCAGAAGGAGGUUGCACAUGGCCCUGAGAGCUGAUAAUGGCCAAGUGCCAAAAAUCAUGAAAAGACUCAUUGCUAGAGUAACUGACAACAUGCAUGCUGAAAAUAAGAAAGCCAAGUUAAUGGUGGCUGAGCAUGAAGAAACUUGCCAUGCUAGUACACAAAGGGAAUUAUCUGAUAAAUUGUCAGGUUCGCAUGCAACUUUGGCAGAAGAUGUUGAGUCCAGAACUAUUCCCGUGACAAAUGUACGUCUCAUGGCGACCAAGGAAGCAGAAUUGUCAACUCAUUUUAUGAGUGGGACUGGGACUGGGCUUAAGAUAAGCUUGUUGAGAGAUGCAGUUGCUAGCCACUCUAAAGGGGCUGCAUGUGUUACUUUUGAUGACAUGGAGUGUACUGAGAAGGCUGUAUCUUUCUCUAAAUUUGCCGAAUCGACAAUGUUUAAACAUGUAAGGUGCAAAGCAUAAAAUCUGGCUCCAGGAUUUCUGGCAGCAUGCAAUCUGUACUGCCCUUGUCCGAUUCCUUGUCCACUGCCUGGCCUGCCCUGAAAUCUGAAGGCAGGGUUUGCCAAGGAAAACAUUGCUGCUGCUGUACACUAA